UUUGGUGUGCAGCAAGAGGAGUCUGGCAGCCUUCACUCGAUCAUUGCGGCAGGCUCUGAGUUGUGGACCAUGACUACUGCACGGUGCAGCAAGUGGAGGUAGACUCAGAAAUUAUUUCUCCUGCCCCAAUUGUUGCUGAGAGUAUGUGCGGUACAAAAUUGAUAUUUCAUCACUCGAGAUCAGUAUCAAGGUGGUGGAGAAUCCACUUUUACCAAGCUGACUCCUGUGGAGGAAGCAGUGGUUGCCACACUGGAAGCUGAGGCAAUGGAAGUUCCGUCAGGUGCUCCAAAGACAGACGUUUCACCACAAGGGGCCAAGUGAUCUUCCACCUACUGUUGAGCUUGUGCUGGAGGAAGAUGUAGUGGUCCACAGCCCUGUCACCCUCUCUCUCUUGGGGCUUCCCGUGUGCCUUUCUCUGAAGUUCCCUCUUAGGCACACACAGUGGAUGGUGACACAGUUGAGGAACCUCAGCAGGAACCUCCAUCACCACCAAGGUGACGGAGAAUUCAAAUGGAAUAGCAGAGAUAUAACAGAGAGGGGAUAGCAUUGCAGAUGUUGCAAAUGCAAACAGACAUCUUAAUUUUUUGUACCAAAUGCGCAAUUCUUUGGACUGCCUUAGCAACACAUUUAAUACUUUUGUUAGGCUGUGGCAGGCUAAGCAAAAUGACAUUUAAGCAAGUUUCUUGUAGCCUUUUUACGUAUAUUUAUUGAUAAGUAGCUAAAAUCAAGAGGUGUUAAUAAUUAACCAUUUACUGAAGUAUAAUUAGCAUUAACUUUAGUCUUAAGAUAUAGCAAUUAUUUAUUUAAAUAUUUAAGUGUAAGGCAUAACUGUAAUUUAUAAUAUAAUUUUGCAAUUUUAUUCACAAUGUGAUUUACAUGUACCAAUAUUUAUAAGUGUUAAGGCUUUGUGAUAUACAAUAUGAUGUAUCUGAUAGCUUUCAAAUAUUUCACUGACUUGUCUGCAAGAACAAUUAAUGAACUAUCUCCGCUCAGGUUUUAGUUAUUUAGUCAUUUAGUCUAGUACACACACCUGAAUAGUGAUACAAUAUAGACAUCAUCAGCAUCAUUAUAAAAGAUGAUGGUGAUUAAAAAAAAAAAAUGUCGUUUAAAGAUUAUGCAGAAUAUCGUGUUUUCUUCCGUAUAUUCUUCUGUGCUGGAUAAAACAUAAGUGAUGUGAACUAGAAAUUAUUUGAAAUGUUACUAUAUGAUCUCACAGACUGUGAUACCUCGAGUUUUGGGUGAAACAUAAAUCUUCGUUACAAUUAUCCUAUGAUACUUUUUUUUUUCUAUUACCAUUGUAUUCUUUACCUCUGGCAUGCAUUUCAUGCAAAUAUCUUACUUAUCUAGGGCAAAAUAAAAAUUGUAGUUUUGUAUUAUACAAAGGAUAUAUUUUUAUUUUAUAAUAAAUAUUGUCAUUUGAUCAUACUUUAUCAUCUUCAUCAGUAAAUG